UUAAGCUGGACAGCUGAACACUACAAGCAACUCUAUCGUUGAAGCCCACCACCACGCUACCAUUUCACAGCUGCGGUGAACCUGAAUGGUAGCCUAACGUCUUGUGGUCUGCUCCUUGAUUUGCCCAUAUCGUUCAGAGGGUUUCUGUCAUUACAGACAAGCACAGAGUAAUAGUCUUUUUCAAGACUUCACCCCCCCCAAUUCACAUCUUCACUGGUCGUGUUGCAGACUUGGAAGUUCAGGCUUGUUCCAGACCAGACCAAUUUGGUGGCUGGGUGCCUGCUGUCUGCACAACACACUGCACAUCAUAACCUACUUAUAUACAUACCUGCAGACAUAUCUGAGACAAUAUCUGAGCACAUAUCAGAUUACAUACUGAGAGAUUUGAUACUGAGAGAUUUGAUACUGAGAGAUUUGAUACUGAGAUACUGAGAGAUUUGAUACUGAGAGAUUUGAUACUGAGAUACUGAGAGAUUUGAUACUGAGAUACUGAGAGAUUUGAUACUGAGAGAUUUGAUACUGAGAGAUCUGAUACUGAGAUACUGAGAGAUUUGAUACUGAGAGAUUUGAUACUGAGAGAUCUGAUACUGAGAUACUGAGAGAUUUGAUACUGAGAGAUCUGAUACUGAGAUACUGAGAGAUUUGAUACUGAGAGAUUUGAUACUGAGAGAUCUGAUACUGAGAGAUUUGAUACUGAGAGAUCUGAUACUGAGAUACUGAGAGAUUUGAUACUGAGAGAUUUGACACUGAGAGAUUUGAUACUGAGAUUUAUACUGAACAAUACUGAGACUUAUUCUGAGAACCAUACCUGUGAAUCAUCUGUCAGCCAUUCAUACCUUUGAAUCAUACCUUUGUUGUGAAAUCUAUGAAAAUUGGUUGUGUUGUUAGACCUCUGCUUAUAAACCUGGACUGUGUGAAGAUUGAGAUACUAACCUAAUUUUGUCUAAAACUGACCAUCUGGAGGGCUGAUUCUUAUUCUUCACUCUACAUCACCAUAAAAUACCAUUGACUGAGACCUCUGUUACUCUGUUAACCAUCUGAUCUCUCUGACCAUUAAAUUAUUCUGUAGCUUCA